UACGGGGGGAGCAAGCGUUGUUCGGACUUACUGGGCGUAAAGGGCGCGUAGGCGGCCACCGCAAGUCGACUGUGAAAUCUCCGGGCUUAACCCGGAAAGGUCAGCCGAUACUGCGGGGCUAGAGUGCAGAAGGGGCAACUGGAAUUCUCGGUGUAGCGGUGAAAUGCGUAGAUAUCGAGAGGAACACCUGCGGCGAAGGCGACUACCUGGCCUGUUCUUGACGCUGAGGCGCGAAAGCUAGGGGAGCAAACGGG
rnacentral:rRNA from 1 species